rnacentral:rRNA from 1 species
ACGAACGCUGGCGGCGUGCUUAACCCAUGCAAGUCGAACGGAAGGGCCCUGCUUGCAGGGUACUCGAGUGGCGAACGGGGGAGAAACACGUGGGUGAUCUGCCCUCCACUCCGGGAUAAGCCGGGGAAACUGGGUCUAAUACCGGAUAGGAGCCAUUUUUAGUGUGAUGGUUGGAAGGUUUUUUCGGUGUGGGAUGAGCUCGCGGCCUAUCAGCUUGUUGGUGGGGUAAUGGCCUACCAAGGCGGCGACGGGUAGCCGGCCUGAGAGGGUGGACGGCCACAUUGGGACUGAGAUACGGCCCAGACUCCUACGGGAGGCAGCAGUGGGGAAUAUUGCACAAUGGGCGCAAGCCUGAUGCAGCGACGCCGCGUGGGGGAUGACGGCCUUCGGGUUGUAAACUCCUUUCGCUAGGGACGAAGCUUUUUGUGACGGUACCUAGAUAAGAAGCACCGGCUAACUACGUG